GCCAUUUCCACUGAACUGUGGUCUCUGAGAAUAGAACGGUGUCCGGGAAGCGGGGACGUGGACGGGGUAUCCGGGGCACUGGCAUUGCAAGGACAGCCCUCUACUUGAAAUGUCCAGAGGGAGUUAGAAACCAGAGCUGCCAGAAUAAUCAGAAGGCUUCCUAAUGACCACGCUCAAACAAGCAGAGAUUACGCAUUGUCGGAAAGGAGGGCUCUGCUGUGUUCCCAGCACUGGAGACGGGUCUGCAUCAAGCCACUUCUACCUCAUUGCAACACAGCAGGCCAGGUUUGGACUUGCAGCCAACGGCCCUGGGUACCCACUGAGAGGUGACUCAGCUCAGUGCUCUCAUCAGGGAAGACGCAAAGUGGAGGAUGCUGGCAUGAUGAAUGACCACGGAGGCACUGUGGCAGAACCUAAGGCACUAGGCAAACAGGCACAGCCUGAGUGGCCUCUGGCUGGGGCUGGCUACUUCGGGAAACAGGAGGCCUAGAAGUGAGGAAGCAGGAGUGGACUAUGGGUCAGACCCUGCAGCCAUCAUGUAGACUAGGACUCUGAGCUGUGUCCUCCUAAGCACUGCGGUGUUA